rnacentral:rRNA from 1 species
UUCCGUAGGUGAACCUGCGGAAGGAUCAUUUCUGAAGGCUUUUUGCCAAAACCACUGUGAACAGCUUAGACUUCGGUCUUUGCAAUUGCUUGGGUGUCGAAAGGCGCCCAAUCUUUAAAACUUUUAUAUUUGUUCUGAAACAAUGAAAAUUUAAAACUUUCAACAACGGAUCUCUUGGUUCUCGUAUCGAUGAAGAACGCAGCAAAGCGCGAUAGGUAAUGCGAAUUGCAGACGUGAGUCAUUGAAUUUUUGAACGCAUAUUGCGCUAUUAGUUUGUCUAAUAGCAUGCUUGUUGGAGUGAUAAUCUUCCUCUCAACCAUUUUUGGUAUGAGGUCUUGCUCCUUUUAGGAGUUAAAAUCAUGGAAGUGCACACGUUAAUUAACUCUGUGCAGUUAUACACUUUUCAUCCUCCAAUCAAGCAAGGUUACCCGCCUGAACUUAAGCAUAUCAAUAAGCGGAGGAAA